AAAGAAAGGAGAAUGGAUUUUGUCUUCAAAUAGACAACACUGGAGAGCCUCCACCCUGCAGGACAAACUGGCCCACAGUUACCCCCCACCCAAAACCCCAUGGCUACGCCGACCCGUAGGCAGAACCAGAAGAAAAUUUAAAGACCGACU